rnacentral:lncRNA from 1 species
GUUCUAAUCCCAGCUCUGACUGGAAUUCUAACCCCUUUGCUUCUUGCCUUGUUUUUCGAGGUUGACCUGCUGACUUGCGAAGCUUGUUUGUCUUCCAUGUCCAGUGACUACAGAGGCCGAAUGGUUUAGGCAGAAGAGCUUGGGAUGACUUACUAACUGUAUAAUUAGACUACUUUUGAACUCCUCUUUUCUCCAUUUAUAAAAAAAAAAAUGGAGGUAAUAGCUUCUAUCUCAGAAUUUCAAGGUUGAGUUAGUGUGCCUGAGGAAGUGGUUAAUAAGACCUUGAUAGGGUGUAGUAGGAUUUUAUUUUUCACUUUUUAUAUUUGCUUGUUGUUUAAUUUCUUUAACCCUGUGGCUUUUAGGCUGGAGUCUGUGCUGAAACUAGCUCGUAGUGGCUUGCCAAAGCUGACUGUGUUCUUGCUUUUCCAACCUUCUAUUCAGUUGUAUCUCUUUCAUAGCCUGCAGUUGUCUUUAGAAUGCAUAUUUACACCAUGGGAUUUGGAAAAUGUAGAUCAAGGCUUUUUUCCUACCCAUGAAAAACUAGUUCUUAAAAAUUUUAGAACUUCUCUGAGCCUGACUUUUUAAUUUUAUUUAGGUUUGCUCUGAUUUCUCUGGAUUUUGAACAUAUUAGUCACUCAUGUAGCAAGUACUUGGUUCAAGUCUACUCUGCAAAAGAUCUACAGAUAGGUUGCCAGAUAAAAUGCAGGGUACUUAGCUAAAUUUUAAUUUCAGAUAAACAAUGUUCCGAUAAACAAUCUUAUAGUAUGUCUUAUGCAAAUUUUGGAUACAUUUAUACUAAAAAUGUAAUGUUUGUCUGAAAUUGACAUUUAACUGGUUUUCUUGUUUUUUGUUCUCUAAAAAAAUAAAAUAAAAAAUUUAAAAAUGGUCUAUGGCUGUGGAAAAUCUAGUCUUAAAAGAUACAGCUCUUGCCUCUCAGUUGCUUAUAGUAGAGAGUGCUGACUCAAAGAAAUUUGAAAAUAGAAGGUUAACUGGG